rnacentral:rRNA from 1 species
CUGCUGCCUCCCGUAGGAGUCUGGUCCGUGUCUCAGUACCAGUGUGGGGGACCUUCCUCUCAGAACCCCUAUCCAUCGUGGACUUGGUGAGCCGUUACCUCACCAACUAUCUAAUGGAACGCAUGCCCAUCUAUCAGCGAUAAUUCUUUAACAAAUAUUUCCAUGUGGAACCCCUGUUUUAUGCGGUAUUAGUCCGACUUUCGCCGGGUUAUUCCCCUCUGAUAGGUAGGUUGCAUACGCGUUACUCACCCGUGCGCCGGUCG